GAUGAACGCUGGCGGCGUGCCUAAUACAUGCAAGUCGAGCGAACAGACGAGGAGCUUGCUCCUCUGACGUUAGCGGCGGACGGGUGAGUAACACGUGGAUAACCUACCUAUAAGACUGGGAUAACUUCGGGAAACCGGAGCUAAUACCGGAUAACAUGUUGAACCGCAUGGUUCAACAGUGAAAGACGGUUUUGCUGUCACUUAUAGAUGGAUCCGCGUCGCAUUAGCUAGUUGGUAAGGUAACGGCUUACCAAGGCAACGAUGCGUAGCCGACCUGAGAGGGUGAUCGGCCAAACUGGAACUGAGACACGGUCCAGACUCCUACGGGAGGCAGCAGUAGGGAAUCUUCCGCAAUGGGCGAAAGCCUGACGGAGCAACGCCGCGUGAGUGAAGAAGGUCUUCGGAUCGUAAAACUCUGUUAUUAGGGAAGAACAAAUGUGUAAGUAACUAUGCACGUCUUGACGGUACCUAAUCAGAAAGCCACGGCUAACUACGUG
rnacentral:rRNA from 1 species